AGGCAACGUCGUAUUGGAAUCCUCGAGUAAAAAAGGGAAGGAUAAAAUCGACGUCGAAUAGCUCAAAAAUCACGGCUAGGUACUGUUCGAAUUAUUAUCGACUCAACAUCAAAUCACAAAUCCCGAGCUCAAGUGUGGUGAUAUUUCAUUUUUUAAUGGCAUGUACCUAGGGAGUGUUUUGUUGAUAUCGUUUAUAAGAUGUGGUUAACUUAGUUGCUAGUGAAAUGAUGGUUAAAGGUGUAUUUGGUUGUGGUUGAGGCUAUGUUGGUAUGCUAGCCUAGUUUAUAUUUUGGUAUGUGCUUAGUUUCAUAUUUGGUAACUUUAGAAGUUUGAAAGUUUGUUCAAAUAUGGUAAGUGUGAUAUGAAUGAAAGUCUUGAAUGUUU